UACAGAGGGUGCGAGCGUUAAUCGGAAUACUGGGCGUAAAGCGUGCGCAGGCGGUCUAUUAAGACAGGUGUGAAAUCCCCCGGGCUUAACCUGGGAACUGCGCUUGUAACUGAUAGGCUUGAGUGUGGCAGAGGGGGGUGGAAUUCCAGGUGUAGCAGUGAAAUGCGUAGAUAUCUGGAGGAACACCGAUGGCGAAGGCAGCCCC
rnacentral:rRNA from 1 species